CACAAAGUUUCCCACUUACCCCAUUUGAGUUUCGAAACUUUACGGCCUCACCACCACCAAAACAAAGACACACUUUUUGUUUUCUUCUAGAUUAACCGAGAGAAAAGAGGAAGAGACAACAACCCACGAUCCUCCAUAGCUGUACAUAGAGAAAAAAAGAAAAAACCUAAUCAUCAAUCAUGCCUUCUGGUGCUAAGAAAAGGAAAGCCGCCAAGAAGAAACAGGAAGAAGCCUCUUCUACUCUCAAACCCAACAACAACCAUGGAACUACUGAGGAAGAAGCUGUCAGAUUGGUAAAGGAUACUGAUGAGCGUAUAGAGAUCACUGAUUCAAGCCAUGAUCAUGACAAGAGCUCUAGCAGUCGCAGUAGUGGUAGUGGUAGUAGUAGCAGCAGCUCGGAUGAUGAGUCUCAGGAAGUCAAGAGGGAAGAUGGUGAUAAGGUGGAGACUCAAGUUAUUACACCAGUGCCAAGUCAGCCUGUUCCAGUUGCUGGAGAUGCUCCGUUCAUCAUUGGUUCUACUGCUAAUGCGAUUGUAGAGAAUACCGGUUUGAUGGAUUCGACUACACCUAGCGAUAUAAACACUGAGAACAUUGUCGAGAUCUCCUCUGUUGAUUCAGUACUCUCAAACGAGCCUGCCGCUGAAGUUUCUCUUGCAUCUGAUGAGGUUAAGCAGGCGUCUUCAAGUAAAAAAGAAUCCAAAUGUGUUCCUGAAGGCAGCAAAGAGUCUGAAGUUGUCAUUUCUCAUGAGGAAGAAGAGGCUCCCGUGCGACCAACACAUGGAGUUGCACAAAGAACCUCAUGGUUAAGUUGUUGUGGUUUGUUUGAUGUGAUGACAGGAUCCAGUAGAUAAACUCAGGUACACCAAAUUCUUUCUUUUAUGAUCUUCAUUUGUCUUCCUAUGAUUCAUAGCUCAUGUAUGCAUUUUGUUGAUCAGUGGCACUGUCGAGUGAGCUGCGAGUAAAGAGAAAAUUAGCCUAAAUCCUGAUUUGCUUGUUGACCCCUCCUGUUUUGUUCUUUCGCAGAAACUUGAGUCACCUUUAAACUCCCAAGCUGCAACAAAACAAUAUGCUAAAAUUUGAGGAACUUGGAUGAAUGGCUCUCUUUCACUUAAGUACAUCUUUUCUCAUAUGAAAUAGCACUCAACUUGUAGUAGUAGCCUUCUUCAUUAGCAGGCAUGUCUUCCCUUUCGCUCUGUACCAUUACUUGUCUAUUGUUGUUUUUGUUCUCUCAGGUUCUGAGACUUUGAGACUGUGUUUGUUGUUGGCAAAUCUAAUGUAUGAUUAAAAUCACUACACAUGAGCUCAAAAUAUAUGUUAUUUAGCAUUAAGGUU